AUGCCUAGAUCCCGUGUAAAUGGAAAUUUCAUUGAUAAGACCUCCUCAAUAAAUUAUUGGAGCUAUCGUUUUCCUCUAGCAUUAAUAGAAUUCAUUGGUGUUAAGAAAAACCUCUUGUGGGAAGGAAAUUAUGCGGAAGCUUUGCAAAAUUAUUAUGAAGCUACGCGACUAGAAAUCGAUCCCUAUGAUCGAAGUUAUAUACUCUAUAACAUAGGCCUUAUACACACAAGCAAUGGAGAGCAUACAAAGGCUUUGGAAUAUUAUUUCCGGGCACUAGAACGAAACCCCUUCUUACCGCAAGCUUUUAAUAAUAUGGCCGUGAUCUGUCAUUACGCCAUUCUAGAGGGUGAUUCAGAAAUUGCGGAAGCUUGGUUUGAUCAAGCUGCUGAAUAUUGGAAACAAGCUAUAGCGCUUACUCCGGGAAAUUAUAUUGAAGCACAGAACUGGUUGAAGAUUACGAAGCGCUUUGAAUUUGAAUAA
rnacentral:rRNA from 1 species